AUUGAACGCUGGCGGCAUGCCUUACACAUGCAAGUCGAACGGCAGCACGGGAGCAAUCCUGGUGGCGAGUGGCGAACGGGUGAGUAAUAUAUCGGAACGUGCCCAGUCGUGGGGAGUAACGUAGCGAAAGCUACGCUAAUACCGCAUACGAUCUAUGGAUGAAAGACGGGGGAGUCGCAAGACCUCGCGCGAUUGGAGCGGCCGAUAUCAGAUUAGGUAGUUGGUGAGGUAAAGGCUCACCAAGCCGACGAUCUGUAGCUGGUCUGAGAGGACGACCAGCCACACUGGGACUGAGACACGGCCCAGACUCCUACGGGAGGCAGCAGUGGGGGAAUUUUGGACAAUGGGCGCAAGCCUGAUCCAGCAAUGCCGCGUGCAGGAUGAAGGCC
rnacentral:rRNA from 1 species